rnacentral:tRNA from 1 species
GCGCAUAUGGUGGAAUUGGUAGACACGCAAGCUUGAGGGGUUUGUGUCCUUACGGACGUGCAGGUUCAACUCCUGUUAUGCGCACAA